rnacentral:rRNA from 1 species
UACGUAGGUGGCAAGCGUUGUCCGGAAUUAUUGGGCGUAAAGCGCGCGCAGGCGGCCUUUUAAGUCUGAUGUGAAAUCUUGCGGCUCAACCGCAAGCGGUCAUUGGAAACUGGAGGGCUUGAGUACAGAAGAGGAGAGUGGAAUUCCACGUGUAGCGGUGAAAUGCGUAGAUAUGGGGGAGGAACACCGGUGGCGAAGGCGGCCACCUGGACGGUCACUGACGCUGAGACGCGAAAGCGUGGGUAGCAAAC